GACGAACCGAGCGAACGUUGUUCGGAAUCACUGGGCUUAAAGGGCGCGUAGGCGGGCUGCCAAGUUUGGGGUGAAAUCCUCCGGCUCAACCGGGGAAGUGCCUCGAAUACUGGCGGUCUCGAGGGAGGUAGGGGCGUGCGGAACUGUAGGUGGAGCGGUGAAAUGCGUUGAUAUCUACAGGAACUCCGGUGGCGAAGGCGGCACGCUGGACCUUUUCUGACGCUGAGGCGCGAAAGCUAGGGGAGCAAACAGG
rnacentral:rRNA from 1 species